AGAAGAAGACAUAGGGGUGGCGUUGGGUUGUGUUGGGUUGGUGGGACUUUUUUUUUCCUUUUUUUUUUUCUAAUUUUAUUUCAGUGGAUAUAUGAAUAAAGUCUAGCUAUAAUGACAGGACCCACUCUGAAUUCUUCGGAAUUUGUGACGAAUCCUGUGAUUUUUUCGACAUCCACCCGAUGCUGGGCUCACUUACUAAUAUUAUCCUCUUCU
rnacentral:lncRNA from 1 species